rnacentral:rRNA from 1 species
UAUUUUAAAAAUUUAGCACAUACAUAUAAACUAAACCCCUUUUUUUUAAUUAAUUUAAAAUAAAAUUUCCAUUAAUUAUAAUUAAAUAAAAAAAAAAAAUUUUUUUUUAUAUAAAAUUACAAAAUUUUAUAAAUUUUAUAAACUUAACCCCUUAAAUUUUUAAUUAAAAAAAUAAACCCCACUAAUUCAUUAAAUUUAUGUCCCCUUAAAAAAUUCAUAAAUUUAAUCUUUUAUUUUUAAUAGUAAAUUUACUAUAAUCCCCAUUUUUUUUUAUUUAAAAAUAAUUAUUGCUAAUUAUAUAAUAAAUAUAUUAUAUAAAUCCAACUUUUAUUAUUUUUUUUUAAAAUUAAACAAAAUUUUAUAUUUUUUAUAUUUUUCUAAAAAACAAAAAAAAAGUAAAAAAUAGGCCUUAAAUUAACCCGAUUUUUUUUGAAAAAAAAAUAUUUUUUUUUCAUAUAAUUUUUCCAAUAUUUUUUAAGGUUACAGAAUUUAAAAAUUUUUGUUUUUAAAAAAUUAUUGGAUUAUUUAUAAGAAAUCCAUAUUGAUUAUUUUUUAUUUAUUUUUCACAUACUAAUUUAAUUUAACUAAUUAUAUUAAACAAUAUAUAAAAAUUUUUAAAAAUUUUUUUUUUUAAAAAAAAAAUAAUAAAUAUAAAAAAUUUUUUUUUUUAAUAAAUUAUAUUCAUUAUAAAAAAAUUAAAUACAAUAAUUUCAACAUAUAUUUAUUAAAAACUUAAAAAUUUUAAAUUUAUACAAUCCUUAUAAUUUUCUAUUUACUAAAAAUUAAUUAAUAAUUUAUCAAUCAAUAAUUAAAUAGAGUUUUUUUUUUUUUCAAAAAAAAAUUAUGAAAUUUUUAUAUUCACUUAAAUAAAUUAUUAAUAUUACUAAAUUUUUUAGUUUUAAAUUGAAUUUUUAUCAAUAAAUAUUUACUUUAUUUUUAUUCAAUAAAUUCUUAUUAUUAUUUUAUAAAUAUAUUAUUUUAUUAAUCUAUUAAAUAUUUAUAUAUAUAUAUAUAAAUUAUAUAUAUUAUACAUAUAUAUUAUAUAAUAUAUAUAUAAAAAUUUAUUAUAUAUAUAUAUAAUAUAAUAUUACUAGUAAAAUUAAAUUUUAAAUAAUUUCUCUUUANUUUUUUUUUUUUCUAAAUUCAUAGAAUCACUUUAUUUUAUUAAAUUUAAUUAUAUCUAUUUUCAAUAUAAUAUUCUAUUAAUGAAUUAUAAAUCAUUAUUAAUUAAUUAUAUUAUUGAAUAAUAAAUAAUAUCAAUACAUAAUAAGUUAAUUUUUAUAGGCUUAAAGUUGUGUACCGGAAAAUUUAGCUAUAAUUAAAUAAUUUUACUUAAAAAUUAUACUAUUUAAUAAAAUUUUAGUAAACAAAAAUUCCUAAAUUUUACGUUUUUUUUUUUAAAAAAAAAAUUUUUUUUUUUUAUAUAAAUUUAGCCCUUUUUUUAUAGCAAUUUUAUCAUAAUUUUUUUUUACAUGGUUGGAAAAAUAAAUAUAUUAGUUAAUAUAUAAAAUAAUUUAA